rnacentral:rRNA from 1 species
AUUGAACGCUGGCGGCAUGCCUUACACAUGCAAGUCGAACGGUAACGCGGGGCAACCUGGCGACGAGUGGCGAACGGGUGAGUAAUGCAUCGGAACGUGCCCAGAAGUGGGGGAUAGCCCGGCGAAAGCCGGAUUAAUACCGCAUGAGACCUGAGGGUGAAAGCGGGGGAUCGCAAGACCUCGCGCUUUUGGAGCGGCCGAUGUCAGAUUAGCUAGUUGGUGGGGUAAAGGCCUACCAAGGCGACGAUCUGUAGCUGGUCUGAGAGGACGACCAGCCACACUGGGACUGAGACACGGCCCAGACUCCUACGGGAGGCAGCAGUGGGGAAUUUUGGACAAUGGGCGCAAGCCUGAUCCAGCCAUGCCGCGUGCGGGAAGAAGGCCUUCGGGUUGUAAACCGCUUUUGUCGGGGAAGAAACGCUCUGGGCUAAUACCCUGGGGUAAUGACGGUAUCUGAAGAAUAAGCACCGGCUAACUACGUGCCAGCAGCCGCGGUAA